rnacentral:snoRNA from 1 species
CCCCUCUCAGGAUCACACCUGGAGAGUUUUCAGUACUCUACUAGUCUUGGCUAUGGGAGGGAGAGUCAAGCAAAGGCAUACUAAUUCCAUUCCUAACUUGGGCAGUGGCUAGCAAGUGGAAAGCAAUCUGCUACAAGU